AGCUCCUGGCAAUGGGCAAGGAGACACCUUGAUGGUGGCACUGUUCUUAUAUCAUUAGUCAGGGACAGAGCAGAUGGCAGUCCUUUGUUUAUUCUGGCUUGAUGCCUUGCUUGGUGGCCACAGCUGUCAUAAGCCUAGGACACAUAA